GUGUACGACCAAGAAGUGAUGAAGCACGCGGACGUCGGCUGGUCAUGUACUCGUCUGAAAUCGACUGCCCUACCGACUUUGUUCCUUCCUGGCAGACAGCAUGACAAUCCGCCGCACAGAGGAGGUCAUCGCCAGGUCACUAGUGCAGCUGCAUCUUGUGACACACAGGCUGAAGGUUCACGGGAGCAUGACAAUCCGCCACACGGUGGAGGUCAUCGCCAUGUCACCAGUGCAGCUGCAUCUUGUGACACACAG
rnacentral:lncRNA from 1 species